GACGUAGGGCGCGAGCGUUGUCCGGAUUUAUUGGGCGUAAAGAGCUCGUAGGCGGCUUGUUGCGUCGACUGUGAAAACCCGCGGCUUAACUGCGGGCUUGCAGUUGAUACGGGCAGGCUAGAGUUCGGUAGGGGAGACUGGAAUUCCUGGUGUAGCGGUGAAAUGCGCAGAUAUCAGGAGGAACACCGGUGGCGAAGGCGGGUCUCUGGGCCGAUACUGACGCUGAGGUGCGAAAGCGUGGGUAGCAAACAGG
rnacentral:rRNA from 1 species